rnacentral:rRNA from 1 species
UUGGAGGGCAAGUCUGGUGCCAGCAGCCGCGGUAAUUCCAGCUCCAAUAGCGUAUAUUAAAGUUGUUGCAGUUAAAAAGCUCGUAGUUGAAUUUCGGAAUCAAUAUUUCGGUCAUGCCGUUGGUAUGCACUGUUAUCAUUGAUUUCUCACCUUCUAAAGAACCGUGAUGCCAUUAAUUUGGUGUUACGGGGAAUUAGGACUGUUACCUUGAAAAAAUUAGAGUGUUUAAAGCAGGCUCACGCUUGAAUACAUUAGCAUGGAAUAAUGAAAUAGGACAUCCGAUUCUAUUUUGUUGGUUUCUAGGAUCGAUGUAAUGAUUAAUAGGGAUAGUUGGGGGCAUUAGUAUUCAAUUGUCAGAGGUGAAAUUCUUGGAUUUAUUGAAGACUAACUACUGCGAAAGCAUUUGCCAAGGAUGUUUUCAUUAAUCAAGAACGAAAGUUAGGGGAUCGAAGACGAUCAGAUACCGUCGUAGUCUUAACCAUAAACUAUGCCGACUAGGGAUCGGAUGAUGUUAAUUUUUUAAUGACUCAUUCGGCGCCUUACGGGAAAC